rnacentral:rRNA from 1 species
ACGUACACUCCUACGGGAGGCAGCAGUGGGGAAUAUUGGACAAUGGGCGCAAGCCUGAUCCAGCCAUGCCGCGUGAGUGAUGAAGGCCCUAGGGUUGUAAAGCUCUUUCACCGGAGAAGAUAAUGACGGUAUCCGGAGAAGAAGCCCCGGCUAACUUCGUGCCAGCAGCCGCGGUAAUACGAAGGGGGCUAGCGUUGUUCGGAAUUACUGGGCGUAAAGCGCACGUAGGCGGAUCGAUCAGUCAGGGGUGAAAUCCCAGGGCUCAACCCUGGAACUGCCUUUGAUACUGUCGAUCUGGAGUAUGGAAGAGGUGAGUGGAAUUCCGAGUGUAGAGGUGAAAUUCGUAGAUAUUCGGAGGAACACCAGUGGCGAAGGCGGCUCACUGGUCCAUUACUGACGCUGAGGUGCGAAAGCGUGGGGAGCAAACAGGAUUAGAUACCCUUGUAGUCCCAUG